rnacentral:rRNA from 1 species
AUGUCCCCCAGGAAGGACGCCGGCCCCUCGCCGGCGGCGGCGCCCGCCACCGCGCCUGCCCUAACGCCUUCCCCAUUCAUGCCCAUGUGUCAGAUGCGGCGGGAUGAGUGCGCAGACCUCCUCAAGCUGAUCUCAGGCGUCUCGCGCCCGCUCGAGGACGUCGUGGCGGAUUUCCUCGCCCGCGUCCCGCCCGAGCGCCGCCUCCGCUUCGGUUCCGCCAUCAAGUUUCUCCUCGAGGACAAGGUGAUGUUUCAACCAGCUGAGCGUUUAAUUGCAUUUGCAAUUCUUCAUCAAGGGUAUUCCUCACAGCUGACAAAUCCGUUUGUUCCAUUCUUAAUAAAUGUUGCCUGUGAUGAAAUUUCUGAGAGACCAGAACGUGUUUUUCUCCAGCUUUUGCUAACUUCAGCUAAUGAGGACAACAAUAAGGAGAUCUUGAAACAGUCUGCAGAAGAUUACUUGAAGGAGCCUUCUUAUGCAUCUCAGGUGUUGCUGCCAAAAGACCGUCUUGAAAGCCAAUACUCCUGCAAUGAUGUUCAGCUACAGACAUACACCAGUUGCGCAGCUGCUACGGUUAGAAGUGCUAUUCCUGACCCAGAUGUUUCCCAAAGCUGUGGUGAUUCAUCAGGAAUAUCACCGACCAAACUAAAUAGAGAUAAUGUGGUGACGAAUUUACUUCAACAAACACCACUGAGAGGAUUGUCUCCUCCAUGGAUUAGGCCCUCUCCCCCCAGACUUGAAAUACUUGAAGGGGAGUUGCAGUGGUUGAACCUGGACAACAACCAUGAGCUACUAUGGGAUAGUAGCAUGUGUGCUGACACUAGCCGAGGAGCUUCAAUCCGUGAUUUGGUCGGAAGAGCCUGUAAAGGACCACUUGCCCCUGCCCAACAAGAGCAAGUUGUUUUAGACUUAGCCAGGGACUGGAAGCUAGUUUAUCAUUGCGGAAUGACACCAGAGAAGCUUCCCGACCUUGUUGAACAUAAUCCACUCAUUGCUGUUGAUGUUCUUUCAAAGCUGAUCAAUUGUCCUGACAUGGAUUCUUAUUUCAAUGUUCUUGUGCACAUGGAAAUGAGCCUGCAUUCAAUGGAAGUUGUAAACAGGCUUACUACAGCAGUAGAUCUACCACCAGGAUUCAUUCAUGACUACAUCUCAAAUUGUAUUCGGUCAUGCCAAAAUAUCAAGGAUAAGUACAUGCAAAACAGACUUGUGAGACUAGUUUGUGUUUUUCUACAGAGUCUCAUUCGGAACAAGAUAAUAAAUGUUGAAGAUCUAUUCAUUGAGGUACAAGCCUUCUGCAUUGCGUUUUCUCGAAUAAGAGAAGCAGCUGGUUUGUUCAGGCUUCUCAAAUCUCUAGAGUGA